rnacentral:tRNA from 1 species
AGCUUUAUAGUCAAUAAUGAUAUUAGACUGCAAUUCUAAAGGUGUGAUAAUUACUAAGGCUU